ACUGCGUUCGUGGCUAUUCCAGUGCCAAAUUUCUUUCUCGCGUUUUCUGUCUGACGUGGUUUCCUUUUUGAUCAAAGUUUUGUCGGGUUUUAGGAUCCAUCAAACUUGUGGUUUCCUUUUUGAUCAAAGUUUUGUCGGGUUUUGCGAAUUUACGAUCCAUCAAAAUUGUGGUUCCCUUCUUGAUCAAAGUUUUGUCGGAGUUUUGCGAAUUUACGAUCGAGAGAUUGUGGUUCCUAUGAUCAAAGUUUUGUCGGGUUUUGCGAUCGAUCAAGAUUGUGGUUCCCUCCUUGAUUAAAGUUUAGUCGGGGUUCUGCGAAUUUACGAUCGAUCAAUAUUGUGGUUCCCUUCUUGAUCAAAGUUUGAUCAAAGUUUUGUCAGGAUUUUGCGAAUUUAUGAUCGAUCAAGAUUGUGGUUCCCUUCUUGAUCAAAGUUUUGUCGGGAUUUUGCGAAUUUACGAUCGAUCAAGAUUGUGGUUCCCUUCUGGGGUUUUGCGAUCGAUCAAGAUUGUGGUUCCCUUCUUGAUCAAAGUUUUACCGAGGUUUUGUGAAUUUACGAUAAAUUAAGAUCGUGGUUCCCUUCUUGAUCAAAAGUUUUGCUGGUCUGUAUUUGUGACUUUAAAUAUUGUGAUCAUCGAGCCUGUUAUCCUGUUAUCGGAAUUUUUCCAAUGGUUUCUUAAUUCUUGAUUUUGUUUAUCCAUCUUAUUGUCUAGUUCCUUCAUUUUCUACUCAGAUUGAUUAUAUUUUUCUUGAAUUCAUGGGUUUUUCAGAGAAACUAAGAAAUAAAAUGGGUGCAAGGUGUGCAAAGAGUGGGUGAUUGUCAGAUUUUGGAAACUGUGGAUGGAGAUCCGGUGAAACCUUAGGUCUCAUUAUCUUUGCAUUCAUUAUUUUCUUUGUUGUUGUUCUUGAUAUAAACUUGGGGAGAGGGAUAUGUUAUAAAUAUGAACUAUAUGAGUGAGAGACUUUGACAUGUGUGUUCUUCCGCUGUUCACUUAUUUUAUGUUGAUUGUCUUCUUCUAGUCGUGUUGCAGCAAUGAGGAUGUCUGUUGGAUCUUGGAGGCAAAAGCUAGAAGACUUACUGUGAAUGUAUGUCGGGUCAUUGACACUAUGACGGCAGAUUAUUGGACUUAAUGGGUUACCUUGUUUCUUAUAAAUCCAAGAGUUGGUUGAAACGAUUGCAUUCAUCCCCUUUUAGCAUACGCUACUUAGCCUUUAAGAUUUCUUUUGCUGAUUGCGUAUCAAAAAUCUUCAGUUAGGAAUGGUUUACGACAUGGAACCUAAUAUCUGAGUUUGCUCUCUAUAUUAUUUCUCUACAUUGGUAUUUUGGAUUUGUUUCUUGUACUGUUAGCCUAUAUUUAGCAAUUAUGUCUCCCUUGGUUUUUGAAUUACCGAACUGCAUGACUUUUAAGCAUGUGAGGAUUGAACAACAAAGUGUUAGGAAUGGCUAUGAACUCGUAAUAACCUAAUUUCUUAGCUUUUGAAAUGUCGGCAUUUGAUCACAAACAUUGGCAUUCAACUACCAUUUGUUUCUCUACAGAGGUGUUUCUAUUAUGCAAUUGAAGUGGGGUUUGUUGUUGAAGAACUGGUCAUCUUCUGUUUUUACUUUUCCUUGGUCUACGAUGAGCUCAUUUCACCUUUUUUUGUGCUUGGUUUGGUUCUCACAGUGAACUCAAGUGUGGUCGUUUGUGGAAGAAAUUAGCUAUCCUAUAAAAUGGUUUGGUGAUUUUGUAUUGAUUUGGGUGAAGUAAAUGGUGUGGUCAUUCAAUUGAUAUGGUCAGAUUUUAUUGUUAAAGAGAGUUUAGUACGACUCGCAUUCUUAUUCUUGCAUAUUAUUUGCACUCUUCGGUACUCCAAGAUCACAGCUCUAUUUACUUCCUUGAGGUUGGGGUCUCACAAUUUGUGAUAGGAUGUGGGAACCAGAUGCUAUCUUGUUGCAGACUAUUUUACUCAAUCUUAGUCCCUUGCUGAUUAUGUUGAAUCUGAAAACUUUUGCUAAUACAUGUGUGGGCACAGGUUUUGGAAGCUGUGAAUGAAGAUCCAGGCAAACUUUAGGUUUUAAAUUAUCUUUGUGUUCAUUAUUUUCUCUGAAGUUAUUCUUCUGUCUACUUUGGUGAAGUGGUGACAGGCACUAUAUGAGUACAAGAGGCAUUGGCAUUUGUAUUUUUUGGCCUUUAACUCGUUUUCAGUGAUGACUAGACUUCAAUAGAGGUAGAUUUUGGUUUGGAACAACUAAUCUCUCUUAAUGGUUGAAUAGUGGGAAGGUGUAUGAUUGUGUGUCUCGUAUUGUUGCGUUUCCAUUCACUAAUUUUCUUAUGCGCUUGAUCUGGAAUGGUUGUAGCCUCUCUUAUUGGUUGUAGGAAGGUACUUGAUCUCUAAACAUUAUGAUCAUCAAGCACAAUGAAGUGUGGUGUAGAUGUGCAAAUUAUGCGUCGAAGUUCUGUGAUAUGUGAAGCUAAAGGUUUUAUUUACCAUCACUUUGCUGUGCUCUUCUGAUUCAAUUUUUACCUUGCCAAUCUUGUUAGUUUGAUUCUGAUCUCGGUUGUGUUGAUGGUGGUAUGUCGACAGUGUGGGAGUUGGUCACGGGCACCUCAAACUGACAUUUGAGGAGGAUUUGUUUGCUAUGUUUUUUUGAAUGGAAUUGUGGGAUGAGUAUUAUUGACAAGUUUUGUUGGGCUUAUGUUGAUAAAGAUAUUUGUUCCAAAAUCGAAAAGAGCGAUUCGGCAAAAAAAGAGAGUAUUUACUUGUUUUCUUGGUAUAUAUUUGUACAUAUGAUUUCGCUUGAUAAUCCAAUGAAUCUCUAUUGUUUGACCAAAAGACUUUUUUGAUGGAGCAAUGUCAAGUAUAUGUAGAACCCCGUAGAUCUCGUUUGAUUUGAUGGUUUCCUCAAUUCUCAAUUGUUUUGGCAGAAGUUCUGAGAAGAGUCAGAAGUCUUAUGGGUUUUUUGAAUUAGUGUACGUACUAGUUUGAAAUAUGUGCUGCGAUUGGGGUUUGCUAAACAUCACAGCCCCUUUUGGGUUGUGUUCUCACUAUUUGUGAUAGGAUGUUGAGGCAGCUGCUAUCUUUUGUUGGCUAUAUUGAUCAAUCUUAGUCCCUUACUGGUUUUUUUCAAUCUCAAAAUCUUUUUAUUUUGCUAGUUGAUAUGUGUGCGACGGAUUUUGGAAGCAGUGGAUGUAGUUCCAGAGAAACUUUAGGUUCUAUUAUCUUUUCAUUCAUUAUUUUCUUUUUGCGUGCAAUGACGGGAGAUUAUUGUUUGGAAUGACACAGAAGUCUCUCAUUGGUUGUAGUCUCUCUCCUUUUAUUACGUUUCCAUUCACUAUUGUUCUUAUGUGGUCUAUUUGGAAUGGCUGUAGUCUCUCGAAUUGGUUGUCGGAAGGUACAUGUAUCAAUCAGGAGCAAUACUGUUAUGGUGUCAGGAGCAAUACUGUUAUGGUAUAGACGUGCAAAUGGUGCUUGGAAAUUAUGUGGACUGUGAGGCUAAUGGUUUUUAUUUACCGGUACAGUGUUUUCUGGAUUAAUUUUUAACUGGCUAAACUUUGUCUGUUUGAUUCUGAUCUUGGUUGUAACUUUCAAUACAAGAGUACUGUUACAAACUGACAUCUGAGGUGGGUUUGUCUGCUACAUUUUUGUGUUCUGGGUUUACAAAAGGCAUUGUGGGAUGAGCGUGGUUGACAAGUUCUGUUAGGCUUUACUCUUUGAUUUGAUGGUAUGCUCAAAUCCUUUCCAUUCAUUGUUUUCAUUAUUGUUGGAUUUUAGAUAGGAAUUGAUGUAUUUCUAUGCAUACCUAAUACUGGAGUUUCGGAGAAGAAUUUGUUAUUUUCAGGAUAAGUUUCUUGAAAUGGUAUGACAAAUUAAGUCGACUAACAAAUUUAGAUAACAUAAUUCUUUGUUUGAAUUUAUUUUCAGCACACACCAAGGAGUCUGACACUUCUCUUUCUUUUUUAUUAGAACGGUUUAAAACAGCACCUGAUGACCGGUCUUAGCUUGUUAUUUAGAGUGACUAAGGCUACCUUGGUUUUAUGGGAUCAUCUUCCUUGAGUUUUGAUUUAGUUGGUUGGUAAGCCGGGCAGUAUCAGAUUUCCUUGUUUUCUUACGAAGAAUAAUGUUUCUGGAGUUGGAUAUAAUGAAACAACGUAUGUAAUGUUUUGUUGUACAAGUUUGAAAUAUGUGAUGUGCUUGUGAGACAUUUUCAAUGUAUGUAAUGUAUUUUAAUAGGUAGUUUUAUUCUUGCUUUAAAUUACGUUGGUGUUAUGUUAAUAUGAUCUUUUUGAUUAUAACAAUUGUCGUCUAUAAAAUUUUGAUUGAUGGAUUGCUUUUAAUAGUUAUUACACUGAAGAUCCUUGUCGAUGAUUCUCAUUAUUGUAAUAAUUCUAUGGCAUUUUUUUUCGUAGUCAUUUUCAAAGAUGUAUUUUACAGUUAGUUCUGCAAUAGUUCUUUUCUUAUGGACUCUGCUUUAUUUUUUAUUCAAUUUUUUUCAAAUUAUUUUUUCGUUUGUGAUUUGUAAUAGAUGCUUAGGGUGUCACAAAUAUGUUUUUCAUUUUUACAUUGUCUAGGUUGUUUGAUCAAUCAUUUUGUUUAUUAAAAUUCAAAAUUAAUUAUUAAAGUAUCGUUGUCUUCUGCAACAUCUCCUAGGCUCAUUGUGACAAUUUUUCUCAGCGUACAGCUUCAUGACACGCGUCCUUCAUCCACGCUUUGCGCUUUCUGAACGGUUGAGAUUCAACUUUGGUUAUUAUUCUCUCUCAUUUUCAAAUAUUCUCUAAAAUGUUUCUUCUUCGCUUCUCUGUUUUUUGCAAUCCUCUUUAGAUUUUUGCUCCUUUCAUCUUCUUCCCUGCCCUUUCCUUGCUGUCAUUUUUGUCCAGGUGCGCUUCUUUUUUUCUUGGUCUUGUAUUCUGCAUUUCCUUGUCUUUGCCGUAUUUGUAUGCUCUUUCAACUGUUUAUUUUGGAUGAGUGUAUAUACAUCUUUUCUCAUUUUACUGCUGAUUCCCUGCAUUCAUUUCAUGGUAUGAUAGCAUAAUUUUUGACUUUAUAUGUUUGCAUUAUACUAGUACUGAUUCUAUUUCACGUUUUUUUUCCAUAUAAAUUUCUAGGGUUGUAAAAUAUUUAUUGCUUAGUUUCAGACUUGACGUGCGUUUGGUCUUUGUGAUUGUACAGAAUCAAUUUAACUUUUAACACGAUCGAUGAUUUUGAACUGUAUGGUGUGCUUGCGGGAUUGAACUAUACGGUCUUUAAGGAUCGAUAAAUGUACUUUUGUUGGUUUGAAUUAUAUGGUGUUUAAAGAUUGAUCGAUGUGGACUUGUCGGAUUGAAUUAUAUGGUGUGCUUUUUGUUGGAUUGAAUUAUAUGGUGUUUAACUAUGCUUUUGUCGGAGUGAAUAGUGUUGGAUUGAAUUAUAUGGUGUUUAACUAUUAAUCGAUGUGCUUUUGUCGGAUUGAAUAGUGUUGGAUUGAAUUAUAUGGUGUUUAACUAUCAAUCGAUGGGCCAAGAGAGACUAUCAGUUGUCUUAUCGCAAGAAUUUCCAUUAGAUCGUGGAGGCAGGUGUAUAUUAUUUUUCUUACAAGAAUGUUUUAUGUUUUAUUGAGUUUCCAUUUACUAUUUUUCUUACGUGCUCAAGGUAGUCUCUCUUAUUGUUUGUAAGAAGGUACAUUUUUCAGUGAUGGUGAUUGUCUAUGGAAGGGAAAUACUUAAUCGGUGAAUCAUCCAGACUGUUAUGAGACUUCUCUAUUGGUUUUUCAAUUAUUGUAUUUGUUUAUUCAUCUUAUCUUCUAGGUCUUUCAACUUCUUCCCAGAUUGGUUUUAGUCUUCUUGAAUUCACGAGCUUUGCAGGGAAACUAAGAAUUGAAGGGGGUGCAGGGUGUGCAAAUGGAGGGUGGAAAUUCUGUGAUCUUUGUAUCUGGCUUUGAUCUUUGUAUCUCAAUGUUUUAUUACCAGUUCACGGAUGUGUAUUCUGAUUUAUUUUCUUAAUGGGUGGACUUGUUUUGUAUGAUAUCAUCAUGCUUCUAUUGAUGGUUUAUGGUUCAAAAGAGGCACUUAGAAUGAGCAUUUGGGACAAGUGCGGUUGGAAUUUACUCUCUGGUUUGUUGGUAUGGUUUUCUUCUUGCUUUGAAAAGUUUUACUCAAUUUUGACGCCUUCUCUGGAUAACUUCUUGUAAUUGAGAUCUUGGACUCUUUUAAUAAUUUUUCAAGACCUCUGUAUUUGUUUGAAUUGGUCUGGUAAUGAUGUGUUUCUUACAAUAGUAAUAAUGGAGUUUUGGAGAAUUUGUUUAUUUCAGUUGAGUUGGAAAACCUUUUUCUUCGAGAAAUGUUAUAAUGGGCAUUUUACCAUUGGUUUCUUAAUUCUUCAUUUGGUUUAUCCAUCUUAAUCUCUAGGUCCUGCAUCUUCCAUCCAUAUUGAUUUUAUUUUUCUUGAAUUCAUGGGUUUUUCACGGAAUGGAGAUGGGGUUAAACCUUAGGUCUCAUUAUCUUUGCAUUCAUUAUUUUCUUUGUCGGUGUUCUUGAUAUAAACUUGUGGAGUGGGAUAUGUUAUAAAUAUGUACUAUAUGAGUGAAAGGCUUUGACAUGUGUGUUGUUAGACUGUUGACUUAUUUUAUGUUGAUUGUCUUCUAGUCGUGUUGCAGCAAUGAGGAUGAGGAUGUUAUAAAUAUGGAGGUGGGUGAAACCUUAGGUCUCAUUAUCUUUGCAUUUAUUAUUUUCUUUGUCGUUGUUCUUGAUAUAAACUUGUUGAGUGAGAUAUGUUAUAAAUACGCCUUAUAUAAGUGAGAGGCUUUGACACGUGUUCGACUGUUGACUCUGUUUAUGUUGAUUGUCUUCUAGUCGUGUUGCAGCAAUGAGGAUGUAUGUUGGUUCAUGGAGGCAAAAGCUGUAAAUUUUUGAACUUGCUACAAAUCUUUAUGUUUUAUUACGUUUCCAUUUAUUAUCAUUCUUGUGAGCUCGAGUUCGAAUCGCAUAACAUCAUGAUCAUCAAGCCUGUUAAGGAAAUUUCUCUAUUGAUUUUUCUAAUUCUUGAAUUUGUUUCUUCAACUUAUCGUCUAUGUCCUUCCUUUUCUACCCUGAUUGCUUUAAGUUUUUUAAAUUUGUGGGCUUUACGUUUCUUAAAUUCGUGGGCUUUGGGCUUUACAGGAAAAUUAAGAAAUGAAGUGGGUGCAGGGUGUGCAAAUGGUGGGUGGUGUGAUUUGGAUCGGGAUCCCGUUUGCUUUCACUGUUUUCAUUGCUGUUUUUCAUCAUGUUAACCUCAGGAGUGGAAGAUCUUGUAACUAUAAACCUUGUUGAUUUUAAUUAUCAUUUUUUACACGUGUUGCUGCGAAGAGGAUGUCUAUUGGGUCAUUGGGUCGUUAUAGGCUUCGACAUUUGUGUCGUUCUAGACUUGACUUUGUUGAUUUUAGUGAUUUUUUUUUCACAGUUGACUUUGUUGAUUUUAAUUAUCAUUUUCUACACGUGUUGCUGCGAAGAGGGUGUCUAUUGGGUCAUGAAGCGAAUAGCUGUUGAUUAGGAUAUUUCCAAGUAGUAGUUUGAAAUAUGUUGUGAUUGGGGUUUACACAACAUCACAUCGCCUUUCUGGUUGGGUUCUCUCUAUUUGUGAUAGGAUGUGGAGGCUGGCUAUAUUGAUCAAUCUUAGUCCCUUACCGGUUUUGUUCAAUCUCAAAAGAUUUUUAUUUUGCUAGUUGAUAUGUGGGGGAAGGAUUUUGGAAGGAAUGGAUGGAGAUCAGGGAAACUUUUGGUUCUAUUAUCUUUUCGUUCAUUAUUUUCUUUUUUGAGUGGGAGUUCUUGGAAACAUGCACUGUAUGAGUAUGAACGAUUUUGACAUUUCAAAAGUUGUGCCUUUGACUCAUUUGCAUUUCAAAAGUUAUGCCUUUGAAUCGUUUUGCAGCGAAGAGUUGCUUGUUAUGGAUGUCUGUUGUGGAGGCAACGGCGGGAGAUUAUUGUUUGGAAUGACAGUAGUCACUCAUUGGUUGUAGUCUCUCUCCUUUUAUUACAUUUGCAUUCACUAUUGUUCUUAUGUGGUUGAUUUGAAAUGGCUGUAGUCUCUGGAAUUGGUUAUCGGAAGGUACAUGUAUCAGUCAGGAGCAAUACUAUUAUGACCGAUCUUAGCUUGUUAUUUAGAGUGACUAAAGGCUACUUUGGUUUUAUGGGAUCGUCUUCCGUGAGUUUUGAUUUA